rnacentral:piRNA from 1 species
UGAAGCAGCAGAUUGAGGGAA